rnacentral:rRNA from 1 species
CACUGCCGAGAAAAGCCUCUAGAUAGAAAAUAGGUGCCCGUACCGCAAACCGACACAGGUAGUCAAGAUGAGAAUUCUAAGGUGAGCGAGCGAACUCUCGUUAAGGAACUCGGCAAAAUGACCCCGUAACUUCGGGAGAAGGGGUGCUCUUUAGGGUUAACGCCCAGAAGAGCCGCAGUGAAUAGGCCCAAGCGACUGUUUAUCAAAAACACAGGUCUCUGCUAAACCGUAAGGUGAUGUAUAGGGGCUGACGCCUGCCCGGUGCUGGAAGGUUAAGAGGAGUGGUUAGCUUCUGCGAAGCUACGAAUCGAAGCCCCAGUAAACGGCGGCCGUAACUAUAACGGUCCUAAGGUA